rnacentral:rRNA from 1 species
UGGGGAAUAUUGGGCAAUGGGCGCAAGCCUGACCCAGCAACGCCGCGUGAAGGAUGAAGGUUUUCGGAUUGUAAACUUCUGUCGCGAGGGACGAAGAAUGACGGUACCUCGUAAGAAAGCCCCGGCUAACUACGUGCCAGCAGCCGCGGUAAUACGUAGGGGGCGAGCGUUGUCCGGAAUGACUGGGCGUAAAGGGAGUGUAGGCGGCUUUAUAAGUUAGAUGUGAAAACCCGCGGCUUAACCGCGGAACUGCAUCUAAAACUGUAGAGCUGGAGUGCAGGAGAGGUGAGUGGAAUUCCUAGUGUAGCGGUGGGAAAUGCGUAGAUAUUAGGAGGAACACCGGAGGCGAAGGCGACUCACUGGACUGUAACUGACGCUGAGGCUCGAAAGCGUGGGGAGCAAACAGGAUUAGAUACCC